rnacentral:rRNA from 1 species
UACAGAGGUCUCAAGCGUUGUUCGGAUUCAUUGGGCGUAAAGGGUGCGUAGGUGGUGCCGUAAGUCAGGUGUGAAAUCCCGGGGCUCAACCCCGGAACUGCACUUGAUACUGCGGUGCUCGAGGACUGGAGAGGAGAUCGGAAUUCAUGGUGUAGCAGUGAAAUGCGUAGAUAUCAUGAGGAAGACCAGUGGCGAAGGCGGUUACCUGGACAGUUACUGACGCUCAGGCACGAAAGCAUGGGGAGCAAAAGGG